rnacentral:snRNA from 1 species
AUACUUACCUGGCGUAGGGGACACCGUGAUCAAGAAGGCGGUUCCCCCAGGGCGAGGCCUGUUCAUUGCACUGCGAACGGGUUGACCCUUGCGAUUACCCCUAAUGUGGGUAACUCGGACGCGUAAUUUUUGGUAGUGGGGACUGCGUACGCGCCGUCCCCAU